rnacentral:rRNA from 1 species
CUUCGGAGCUCUGAGACAGGUGCUGCAUGGCUGUCGUCAGCUCGUGUUGUGAAAUGUUGGGUUAAGUCCCGCAACGAGCGCAACCNUUAUCCUUGUUUGCCAGCGAGUAAUGUCGGGAACUCCAGGGAGACUGCCGGUGAUAAACCGGAGGAAGGUGGGGACGACGUCAAGUCAUCAUGGCCCUUACGAGUAGGGCUACACACGUGCUACAAUGGCGCAUACAGAGGGCAGCCAACUUGCGAAAGUGAGCGAAUCCCAAAAAGUGCGUCGUAGUCCGGAUUGGAGUCUGCAACUCGACUCCAUGAAGUCGGAAUCGCUAGUAAUCGUGGAUCAGAAUGCCACGG